UUGGUGCUUGCAUCAUGAUUUACAUUUGAGUGAGUGGCGAACUGGUGAGUAACACGUGGGAAACCUGCCCAGAAGCGGGGGAUAACACCUGGAAACAGAUGCUAAUACCGCAUAACAACUUGGACCGCAUGGUCCGAGCUUGAAAGAUGGCUUCGGCUAUCACUUUUGGAUGGUCCCGCGGCGUAUUAGCUAGAUGGUGGGGUAACGGCUCACCAUGGCAAUGAUACGUAGCCGACCUGAGAGGGUAAUCGGCCACAUUGGGACUGAGACACGGCCCAAACUCCUACGGGAGGCAGCAGUAGGGAAUCUUCCACAAUGGACGAAAGUCUGAUGGAGCAACGCCGCGUGAGUGAAGAAGGGUUUCGGCUCGUAAAACUCUGUUGUUAAAGAAGAACAUAUCUGAGAGUAACUGUUCAGGUAUUGACGGUAUUUAACCAGAAAGCCACGGCUAACUACGUGCCAGCAGCCGCGGUAAUACGUAGGUGGCAAGCGUUGUCGGGAUUUAUUGGGCGUAAAGCGAGCGCAGGCGGUUUUUUAAGUCUGAUGUGAAAGCCUUCGGCUCAACCGAAGAAGUGCAUCGGAACUGGGAAACUUGAGUGCAGAAGAGGACAGUGGAACUCCAUGUGUAGCGGUGAAAUGCGUAGAUAUAUGGAAGAACACCAG
rnacentral:rRNA from 1 species